GGCCACAUGGUCCAGAGGUACGAUACUUGCUUUGGGUGCAAGUGACCUGGGUUCGAUUCCCAGUGUGGCCC
rnacentral:tRNA from 1 species